rnacentral:rRNA from 1 species
CCUACGGGGGGCAGCAGUCGAGGAUCAUUCACAAUGGGGGAAACCCUGAUGGUGCGACGCCGCGUGGGGGAAUGAAGGUCUUCGGAUUGUAAACCCCUGUCAUGUGGGAGCAAAUUAAAAAGAUAGUAAAACAAGAGGAAGAGACGGCUAAAUCUGUGCCAGCAGCCGCGGUAAUACAGAGGUCUCAAGCGGUGUUCGGAAUAACUGGGGGUAAAGCGUGCGGAGGCUGUUUCGUAAGACGUGUGUGAAAGGCGCGGGCUCAACCCGCGGACGGAAUAUGAUAGUGCGUGACUAGAGUAAUGGAGGGGGAACCGGAAUUCUCGGUGUAGCAGGGAAAUGCGUAGAUAUCGAGAGGAACACUCGUGGCGAAGGCGGGUGCCUGGACAUUAACUGACGCUGAGGCACGAAGGCCAGGGGAGCGAAAGGGAUUAGAUACCCGGGUAGUC